rnacentral:rRNA from 1 species
AGUGAACGCUGGCGGUAGGCCUAACACAUGCAAGUCGAACGGCAGCACAGUAAGAGCUUGCUCUUACGGGUGGCGAGUGGCGGACGGGUGAGGAAUACAUCGGAAUCUACAUUUUCGUGGGGGAUAACGUAGGGAAACUUACGCUAAUACCGCAUACGACCUACGGGUGAAAGCAGGGGAUCUUCGGACCUUGCGCGAUUGAAUGAGCCGAUUUCGGAUUAGGUAGUUGGGGGGGUAAAGGCCCACCAAGGCGACGAUCCGUAGGUGGUCUGAGAGGAAGAAGAGACACAACGGAAAUGAAAAAAGGGUCAGACGCCAAAGGGAGGGAGGAGGGGGGAAAUGUGAGAAAGGGGGGGAAGGCCUGAGCAACAAAGCCGGGGGGGGGAAGAAGGCCGUCGGGUUUGAAAGCCCGUUUGGUGGGGAAGAAAAAGCGGGGGGUUAACACCCCGAGGUAGGGACGGUACCAAAAAAAGAAGAACCGGCUAACUCCGUG